rnacentral:rRNA from 1 species
AUUGAACGCUGGCGGCAGGCCUAACACAUGCAAGUCGAACGGCAGCACGGGAGCAAUCCUGGUGGCGAGUGGCGAACGGGUGAGUAAUGUAUCGGAACGUGCCCAGUCGUGGGGGAUAACGUAGCGAAAGCUACGCUAAUACCGCAUACGAUCUAUGGAUGAAAGCGGGGGAUCGCAAGACCUCGCGCGAUCGGAGCGGCCGAUAUCAGAUUAGGUAGUUGGUGGGGUAAAGGCUCACCAAGCCGACGAGCUGUAGCUGGUCUGAGAGGACGACCAGCCAGACUGGGAAUGAGACACGGCCAAGCCGCCUACGGGAGGCAGCAGUGGGGAAUUUUGGACAAUGGGCGCAAGCCUGAUCCAGCAAUGCCGCGUGCAGGAUGAAGGCCUUCGGGUUGUAAACUGCUUUUGUACGGAGCGAAAAGGCUCUCUCUAAUACAGGGGGCUCAUGACGGUACCGUAAGAAUAAGCACCGGCUAACUACGUGCCAGCCGCCGCCGUAAGAC